rnacentral:lncRNA from 1 species
UUCUAUACCAAUAAAUAAAUAAAUAUAUAUACAAUUUAAUUAAAUUUUAUACGCAAUCAAUAGUUAUAAUUCAAUUACAUUUUGAAAGAUUUGGUUACUUUUGAUUUACAACCGAGGACAUCAAAAGCGGUAUAAUAAUUAAGAUAUAUUGUAUUGUUCUAGUUCGUGAGAGCAUGGUCCAUGUUGAGAGGCAGCUGGUAUUUGUAUAGGUUGAUCAUAUUGGCUGAGCCCUGCACCAAGCACAGGGUAAUACACAACAGCCUGUGUUCAUUUUCGGAUAAUGUGAAGAAACCAACUUAUCACGACGAUGAGUGAAUGGGACUGGUUUUGUGGUGUAAACUACACACUCGACUCUGGCACCGGUUUGAACAACUCGUGUUUAAUCAACGGUAUCAUCGUUGUACCCCAGUUGGGAUUCGUCCUUCUCUCAUCUCUCUUCCUCAUCCUCCUCGCCUCUUGCUCCUCCCGCCAGAGUCUCACCGGCUCCAAGUAUCUCCUGCGUCUCCCGGGUCACACUCCAAGAUGGCUUCUGACUUAUGUCCUUCUUGUCCUCACACUCUCCUUCAUAGCAGAAGGUAUUCUGACCAAGACACCUUCCUCGCCAACUCCUUACCACACCAACCACACCUUUAUGUUGCAGGAGUAGUGAUGCUUGCCGGGGCGGUAUUUUCCAUUCUCUACUUCCACAUGAUGGAGAAAUGGCGUGAACGUCACAUGGUUUGGCUCCUACUCGUAUACUGGGUGGCUUCGAUGUUUUCGUUGGUGGUGGAGAUGGUGCACAUUAACAGAAGAGGAGAUAUCAACUUUCAAAACGUCAAAUUUGAUAUCACUCUGCUGAUGCUUUUCGUAGUGUUGAUGUUUCUUGUUAAUGAAAUAAUCCUCUGUUGUCAUUUGGUAAGGAAAAUUUUGUUCAUACUUUUUACUGAAUAAUGUUACAAUAUAUAAACAUCAACGUCGAGUCUAUAAGUGAUAAAUCAAGUAGAUAGAGAAAGGUUGUCCGUAAUAAUAAAGGCGAUACAAAGUGUACAUCUAAUGACGAAUUCACAGCAUUACUAUGAAAAGAGUAUUUAAAAAAAAACGAAACUUUCUCCAAGUAAACGUUUUCAAAUUGACAAUGUGGAAAUUUCAAUAAUGUAUGGGUUUCAAAAUGAUGAGCCACAAACGAUCAAACAUGUGGGGUUUCAGUGUUUUUUAGUACUGAGUAGAAAGUAAUUUGUUUUUAUCUAUUGAUUCCUUUGCCGCUUUGAUUGAAAAAGUUCAAAGUAUUUUCGCGGGGAUAACAUAAGGUCUUUAAAAACGAUGUAUUUAUAGCCCUAUAUAAUGCAACUUAUAUAUACGAUGAUUUUUUUUUUAUACUAGUUCCUUCAGUUAUAUUUUCUAGACCUUGCAUCUCAUAAUCUGCAACGUGAUCAGCCAUGUUUACUGUUGAUGACGCAACACACGUGUUAUCUCACCGGAUUUACCCUCUGUUUUACGUGUAUUUAUUGAUUCUUAUCCAAUAAGAGCAAACAGGUUGUAAAUGAAUAUUUCUCUUUCAAUCAUUUAGUUAUUUGAUAUCAUUCAAACUUCAACCUCUCGAACAUCUUUAUUGAGUUUGAACUCAAACAAUUUAUGAUUUGGGCAAUAACCUGGAGUACCUAUGCAGAUUUGGUAGUAUUGUAAAGCUUUGGCGAAUUUCCUUCAACUCAAUUUUACAUACAAAAGAAACGAUCUUUGUGUUCUUUUAAACAUUAUUCUGGAAGCAUAAAAAUUAUCAACAG